CAGGAUUAGAUACCCUGGUAGUCCACGCUGUAAACGAUGUCGACUUGGAGGUUGUGCCCUUGAGGCGUGGCUUCCGGAGCUAACGCGUUAAGUCGACCGCCUGGGGAGUACGGCCGCAAGGUUAAAACUCAAAUGAAUUGACGGGGGCCCGCACAAGCGGUGGAGCAUGUGGUUUAAUUCGAUGCAACGCGAAGAACCUUACCUACUCUUGACAUCCACGGAAUUCGCCAGAGAUGGCUUAGUGCCUUCGGGAACCGUGAGACAGGUGCUGCAUGGCUGUCGUCAGCUCGUGUUGUGAAAUGUUGGGUUAAGUCCCGCAACGAGCGCAACCCUUAUCCUUUGUUGCCAGCACGUAAUGGUGGGAACUCAAAGGAGACUGCCGGUGAUAAACCGGAGGAAGGUGGGGAUGACGUCAAGUCAUCAUGGCCCUUACGAGUAGGGCUACACACGUGCUACAAUGGCAUAUACAAAGAGAAGCGAACUCGCGAGAGCAAGCGGACCUCAUAAAGUAUGUCGUAGUCCGGAUUGGAGUCUGCAACUUGACUCCAUGAAGUCGGAAUCGCUAGUAAUCGUAGAUCAGAAUGCUACGGUGAGUACGUUCCCGGGCCUUGUACACACCGCCCGUCACACCAUGGGAGUGGGUUGCAAAAGAAGUAGGUAGCUUAACCUUCGGGAGGGCGCUUACCACUUUUGUGAUUCAUGACUGGGGUGAAGUCGUAACAAGGUAACC
rnacentral:rRNA from 1 species